rnacentral:lncRNA from 1 species
GUCACAUCAUCAACAAGGCUAUUCUGAUGAUGCAGGUGGUUUAUUUUCUCAAGGUUUCUAAGUUUUGUUCAGUUUGAUUUCAUAAAGUAGCCUGAACCUAAACUGUCUCACAUCUUAUUUACAAUGGGGAAAACUAAAGAUGGGCCAGCUGGGAUCCUAACUGGGCAUGUGCGUAUGCUGCCUGCGUAUGUGUUACCAGUAUUAUACUGUAGUUUGCAUGCCACAUCGACAGAAUCAGGAAGUAACGAAACUUUUUCAUUUCAUACAACGACAACCACAAGAAGCCCCGGCCCUUCCUUUUCCUGCUAAACUUUAAUCGAGCCAAGCUAUGGCUGAAUUUCUGUCAACAAAGGCUACGGACAAACUAAACUCACAGCUCAACAGACUGUGCGUAUGGCUUUCGAGUGACCCUGAGUACAUCCUGGAGCACUGCGGGGACAUCCUAUCCGUAAAUGAAUAUAAAAAGGUAAUAAAACAAAGCAGUGGUUCAGAGCAGAUAAGAGAACUAUUGGAAAUAAUCAUUCAAAAAGGAGAAGAUACCUGUCAGAACUUUAUUGACACUCUGAGGAAGCACCGAAGACACUUCCCACAACUAAAGCAGUUUUUCGUCACUGAAGCUGAAGUUCCAGGUUCAUCCACUCCAAGCAUGUUUGCUGAUGGUAGCAGUGUUGUGUCCCGCAGAGAAAUUACAAACACAACUGCAAAAAACAUUUCAUUUAACAUCCAAACAGUAAGCCAGCCGGCAGACAGCAGUUUGUCUGGAAAUACUAAACCCCAAGCAGAUCUCGCUGCAAGUGGUGGCAGUGUUGUAUGUGCUGAUCAAAUAUCAGGUGUCCAUGUUGAUGGGGGUAUAAAUUUCUCAGUGUGUGUGAAUGCACCACAAGAAAACACAGGUACGGUAGAGGACACACAGCCACCUCCUCAGGUACAGUACGAGAAUAGUGUUACUGGCAAGAACACACAAAGAGGUGUUCACUGA